AGUGAACGCUGGCGGUAGGCCUAACACAUGCAAGUCGAACGGCAGCACAGUAAGAGCUUGCUCUUACGGGUGGCGAGUGGCGGACGGGUGAGGAAUACAUCGGAAUCUACUUUUUCGUGGGGGAUAACGUAGGGAAACUUACGCUAAUACCGCAUACGACCUACGGGUGAAAGCAGGGGAUCUUCGGACCUUGCGCGAUUGAAUGAGCCGAUGUCGGAUUAGCUAGUUGGCGGGGUAAAGGCCCACCAGGGCGACGAUCCGUAGCUGGUCUGAGAGGAUGAUCAGCCACACUGGAACUGAGACACGGUCCAGACUCCUACGGGAGGCAGCAGCGGGGAAUAUUGGACAAUGGGCGCAAGCCUGAUCCAGCCAUACCGCGUGGGUGAAGAAGGCCUUCGGGUUGUAAAGCCCUUUUGUUGGGAAAGAAAAGCAGCAGGUUAAUACCCCGCUGUUCUGACGGUACCCAAAGAAUAAGCACCGGCUAACUUCGUG
rnacentral:rRNA from 1 species